rnacentral:rRNA from 1 species
AGAGGGCCCUCCCAGGCAAUGCCUGUGAUCCGCCCGAGAGGUAUUGAUCUAAAAGAUGGCCCUUUGUUUGCUGCUCUUAGCGCGAAAAUCCAAGGAAAGCAUGUCGGUGUUCCUGUCUGUGAAGGGGCUGCAACUACGAAGCCUUGGAAUGCACUUGAACUUUUCGACCUUUACAUCUUUGAAGGUGAAUCUAUGAGAGAAUGGCUUUUCUUUGACAAACCAAGAAGGGUGUUCGACAGUGGAAACCGGAAGCAGAGGUCACUGCCAGAUUACAACGCCCGUCCCUGGCAUGAAUCAAGGAAGCAGGUGAUGAAAGACUUUGGGGGUCUGAAGAGAUCAUACUACAUGGAUCCACAGCCAUCUAGCAGCUACGAAUGGCACCUCUAUGAGUACGAGAUCAAUGAUUGCGAUGCUUUUGCCUUAUACCGGCUCUAAUUCAAGUCUUCAGACGCAAAGAAGAGCGCUAAGUCAAAAUUCACUUGCAGUCCACUGAUUGAAAUCCAGCAGCAAAUGGUCAGGCUGAGCGCAGACGGUCCCGUGGAGAACAAGCGGACCGCACGUGCGCAGACAAAAGAUGUUAGCACAAACAUCUUUCCGGUUCAAAACAACACGGCUCAGGCUAAUAUUCCGGACGCUUACGAGGCAGCGUCGCAGGUGGACCAGAUGACAUUUUAGAAUGGCAGUGUUGUUUAUGGGCCUCAUCUCCCAUAUGGUUACUCGACCGAAGGAGGUAACUUCUAUUGGAACUCAAAAGACGGGGUUUGA